UUAUGAAUGGUGACAUAAACCGCAUU
rnacentral:snRNA from 1 species